rnacentral:rRNA from 1 species
UACGUAGGGUGCGAGCGUUAAUCGGAAUUACUGGGCGUAAAGCGUGCGCAGGCGGUUCGUUGUGUCGGCGGUGAAAGCCCCGGGCUUAACCUGGGAAUGGCCGUUGAAACUGGCGAACUGGAGUGUGGCAGAGGGGGGUGGAAUUCCGCGUGUAGCAGUGAAAUGCGUAGAGAUGCGGAGGGACACCGAUGGCGAAGGCAGCCCCCUGGGCUGACACUGACGCUCAGGCACGAAAGCGUGGGGAGCAAACAGG